UACGUAGGGUGCAAGCGUUAAUCGGAAUUACUGGGCGUAAAGCGUGCGCAGGCGGUGAUGUAAGACAGGUGUGAAAUCCCCGGGCUUAACCUGGGAACUGCAUUUGUGACUGCAUCGCUGGAGUAUGGGAGAGGGAAGCGGAAUUUCUGGUGUAGCAGUGAAAUGCGUAGAUAUCAGAAGGAACAUCAGUGGCGAAGGCGGCUUCCUGGACCAAUACUGACGAUCAGGUGCGAAAGCGUGGGGAGCAAACAGG
rnacentral:rRNA from 1 species